rnacentral:rRNA from 1 species
AGCGGCGGACGGGUGAGUAUUGGCGUGGGUAACCUGCCCUGUACACACGGAUAACAUACCGAAAGGUAUGCUAAUACGAGAUAAUAUGCUUUUAUCGCAUGGUAGAAGUAUCAAAGCUUUUGCGGUACAGGAUGGACCCGCGUCUGAUUAGCUAGUUGGUAAGGUAACGGCUUACCAAGGCGACGAUCAGUAGCCGACCUGAGAGGGUGAUCGGCCACAUUGGAACUGAGACACGGUCCAAACUCCUACGGGAGGCAGCAGUGGGGAAUAUUGCACAAUGGGCGAAAGCCUGAUGCAGCAACGCCGCGUGAGCGAUGAAGGCCUUCGGGUCGUAAAGCUCUGUCCUCAAGGAAGAUAAUGACGGUACUUGAGGAGGAAGCCCCGGCUAACUACGUGCCAGCAGCCGCGGUAAUACGUAGGGGGCUAGCGUUAUCCGGAAUUACUGGGCGUAAAGGGUGCGUAGGUGGUUUCUUAAGUCAGAGGUGAAAGGCUACGGCUCAACCGUAGUAAGCCUUUGAAACUGGGAAACUUGAGUGCAGGAGAGGAGAGUGGAAUUCCUAGUGUAGCGGUGAAAUGCGUAGAUAUUAGGAGGAACACCAGUUGCGAAGGCGGCUCUCUGGACUGUAACUGACACUGGGGCACGAAAGCGUGGGGAGCAAACAGGAUUAGAUACCCUGGUAGUCCACGCCGUAAACGAUGAGUACUAGCUGU